UCGAUAUUUUUUUUUUACUAAUAAGCAGCACUUUCUAACAUGUAUCGAUAAAUCGGUUGUUAAACCUAUUUCUUCACCAUCCACGGUAGACAUUACAGAAGCGCCACUCGAAAUAUUUUUGAUAUUUAAUACCACUAAAAUAAUUAUUUCAGAUAACGAAGGAGCUUUUCAUUCUAUGACAAUAAAAAGUUUCCUCAAUUUAACAAUUUUUAUUACGACGUCACACAGUGAAAGUAAUGAGCUCUUGUUAUAUUAACGACUGUGUGAUCCACAAUUUUGCUUGGGGUUUUGGGAGAGCUGCUAGAUGGGUUCUGCUCAUCUAUUGCGGAGAUUUAUUUCGAAACGUUCCACUUUCGGCUGGCAGUAUUUUUUUUGUGAUCGUAAAUGCCGGUGUCAAUCGCGUGGGAAAUGUACUGAUGAUGGCUGCCAGUGUAUACUUCUAGUACUCUCCAUUUCUUUAUUAAGCCUGCCUGCUUGUUCUGAAGUUGGCUAAUGUCUGGUGUGGUUUCCUCGCACCCAUGUCUUCUAGGAUACGCUUACCUCUCGAGUCGGUGUUUGGCAUACCCCACUCUAUGGCUUUCGAGUUUAGGUCUCCGGUGAUAAAUAAAUGGCCCUCUAUAGACCUAGCAAAGUCGCUCAAACGGUGGAUCCUCUUUUAUAGAUUAAGGUAAAUUUCAUUCCUUGCGUUACGAUUUAAUUUCAAAGAAACAUGGGUGUGGAGACUAUUUUAAUUUAAGCACAGGGUUUAGCUGGUUACAGCUGGUGUUAUCAGAAUAUAUAAAUAAAAUAUUUUAAUUUUAAUGAAUAUAUUUAAAAAA